CUACGGGUCGCAGCAGUGGGGAAUAUUGGGCAAUGGGCGAAAGCCUGACCCAGCAACGCCGCGUGAAGGAAGAAGGUUUUCGGAUCGUAAACUUCUAUCCCAGGUGAAGAUAAUGACGGUAGCCUGGAAGGAAGCCCCGGCUAACUACGUGCCAGCAGCCGCGGUAAUACGUAGGGGGCAAGCGUUGUCCGGAAUGAUUGGGCGUAAAGGGCGCGUAGGCGGCCUUCUAAGUCCGAUGUGAAAGUCCUGCUUUUAAGGUGGGAAUUGCAUUGGAAACUGGAGGGCUUGAGUGCAGAGAGGUAAGUGGAAUUCCCGGUGUAGCGGUGAAAUGCGUAGAGAUCGGGAGGAACACCAGUGGCGAAGGCGACUUACUGGACUGUAACUGACGCUGAGGCGCGAAAGUGUGGGGAGCAAACAGGAUUAGAUACCCCCGUAGUC
rnacentral:rRNA from 1 species